CCCUGAGUUCUCACUGAGCUCUGGUGCCAGGAGGGAUGGACAGAGUCUUGGGAGCAUCAUUUUUAAUUCUAUGCCUUCAACUAUGCUGGGUGAGUGGCCAAGAGAAGACAGAAAGUGACCGGAAGCAGGUGAAACAAAGUCCUGAAUCUUUGAUAGUCCACGAAGGAAGUAUUUCAAUUCUGAAAUGUACUUACGAGAACAGUGCUUUUGACUACUUCCCAUGGUACCGGCAGUUCCCUGGGAAAGCUCCGGCAUUACUGAUAGCCAUACGUUCAUUUGACAGUGAAAAGGAAGAUGGAAGAUUCACAGCCUUCCUCAACAAAAGUGCCAAGCACUUCUCACUGCAUAUCACACCUUCCCAGCCUGGAGACUCAGCCACAUACUUCUGUGCAGCAAGCACACAGCGCUCCUCAUGCACCUGCAGCCUGUACCCAGACCUGCAGCUGAGGCUCUAACCUGGCAGUGGGUUUUACGCUGGCAGAUGUGUGGACUAGUUUUCAUUUGCAUGCAGAGGCG